GAUGAACGCUGGCGGCGUGCCUAAUACAUGCAAGUCGAGCGAACGGACGAGAAGCUUGCUUCUCUGAUGUUAGCGGCGGACGGGUGAGUAACACGUGGAUAACCUACCUAUAAGACUGGGAUAACUUCGGGAAACCGGAGCUAAUACCGGAUAAUAUUUUGAACCGCAUGGUUCAAAAGUGAAAGACGGUCUUGCUGCCACUUAUAGAUGGAUCCGCGCUGCAUUAGCUAGUUGGUAAGGUAACGGCUUACCAAGGCAACGAUGCAUAGCCGACCUGAGAGGAUGAUCGGCCACACUGGAACUGAGACACGGUCCAGACUCCUACGGGAGGCAGCAGUAGGGAAUCUUCCGCAAUGGGCGAAAGCCUGACGGAGCAACGCCGCGUGAGUGAUGAAGGUCUUCGGAUCGUAAAACUCUGUUAUUAGGGAAGAACAUAUGUGUAAGUAACUGUGCACAUCUUGACGGUACCUAAUCAGAAAGCCACGGCUAACUACGUG
rnacentral:rRNA from 1 species